rfam:Eubacterium sp. CAG:274 genomic scaffold, scf1
GGGACACUAGCUCAGUCGGCUAGAGCACUUGACUUUUAAUCAAGGGGUCUCGGGUUCGAAUCCCGAGUGUCUCA